AUGAACGCUGGCGGCGUGCCUAAUACAUGCAAGUCGAGCGAACAGAUAAGGAGCUUGCUCCUUUGACGUUAGCGGCGGACGGGUGAGUAACACGUGGGUAACCUACCUAUAAGACUGGGAUAACUUCGGGAAACCGGAGCUAAUACCGGAUAACAUUUGGAACCGCAUGGUUCUAAAGUGAAAGACGGUUUUGCUAUCACUUAUAGAUGGACCCGCGCCGUAUUAGCUAGUUGGUAAGGUAACGGCUUACCAAGGCGACGAUACGUAGCCGACCUGAGAGGGUGAUCGGCCACACUGGAACUGAGACACGGUCCAGACUCCUACGGGAGGCAGCAGUAGGGAAUCUUCCGCAAUGGGCGAAAGCCUGACGGAGCAACGCCGCGUGAGUGAUGAAGGGUUUCGGCUCGUAAAACUCUGUUAUUAGGGAAGAACAAAUGUGUAAGUAACUGUGCACGUCUUGACGGUACCUAAUCAGAAAGCCACGGCUAACUACGUG
rnacentral:rRNA from 1 species